GUAAAGAAGAAGAAGAGGAAGAAGAAGAAGAAGAGUAAC
rnacentral:sRNA from 1 species